rnacentral:rRNA from 1 species
AUUGAACGCUGGCGACAGGCCUAACACAUGCAAGUCGAACGCGUGGCGGACGGGUGAGUAAUGUCUGGGACACUGCUUGAUGGAGGGGGAUAACUACUGGAAACGGUAGCUAAUACCGCAUACCAUCAGAUGUGCCCAGAUGGCAUUAGCUUGUUGGUGGGGUAACGGCUCACCAAGGCGACGAUCCCUAGCUGGUCUGAGAGGUUGACCAGUCACACUGUAACGGAGACACGGUCCAGACUCCGACGUGAGGAAGCAGUGGGGAAUAUUGGACAAUGGGCGCAAGCCUGAUGCAGCCAUGCCGCGUGUAUGAAGAAGGCCUUCGGGUUGUAAAGUACUUUCAGCGGGGAGGCGUUACCCGCAGAAGAAGCACCGGCUAACUCCGUGCCAGCAGCCGCGGUAAUAC